GGGCCGGUGGCUUAGUCUGGAUAUAGCACUGGCCUUCUAAGCCAGUGGUCUCGGGUUCGAAAGCGCCCAGAGGGCGCCGAAUAUCCCGACCGGCCCG
rnacentral:tRNA from 1 species